GCUGGCGGCAGGCCUAACACAUGCAAGUCGGGCGGUAACAGGGAGUGCUUGCACUUCGCUGACGAGCGGCGGACGGGUGAGUAAUGCAUAGGAAUCUGCCUGGUAGUGGGGGAUAGCCCAGAGAAAUUUGGAUUAAUACCGCAUACGCCCUACGGGGAAAGCUGGGGGGGCCUUCGGGCCUAGCGCUAUCAGAUGAGCCUAUGUCGGAUUAGCUUGUUGGUGAGGUAACGGCUCACCAAGGCGACGAUCCGUAGCUGGUCUGAGAGGAUGAUCAGCCACACUGGGACUGAGACACGGCCCAGACUCCUACGGGAGGCAGCAGAGGGGAAUAUUGGACAAUGGGCGCAAGCCUGAUCCAGCCAUGCCGCGUGUGUGAAGAAGGCCUUCGGGUUGUAAAGCACUUUCAGCGGGGAGGAAAGGAUGGUUGCUAAUAUCAGCCGUCUGUGACGUUACUCGCAGAAGAAGCACCGGCUAACUCCGUG
rnacentral:rRNA from 1 species